rnacentral:rRNA from 1 species
UGGGGAAUUUUGGACAAUGGGCGAAAGCCUGAUCCAGCAAUGCCGCGUGUGUGAAGAAGGCCUUCGGGUUGUAAAGCACUUUUGUCCGGAAAGAAAUCCUUGGCUCUAAUACAGUCGGGGGAUGACGGUACCGGAAGAAUAAGCACCGGCUAACUACGUGCCAGCAGCCGCGGUAAUACGUAGGGUGCAAGCGUUAAUCGGAAUUACUGGGCGUAAAGCGUGCGCAGGCGGUUUGCUAAGACCGAUGUGAAAUCCCCGGGCUCAACCUGGGAACUGCAUUGGUGACUGGCAGGCUAGAGUAUGGCAGAGGGGGGUAGAAUUCCACGUGUAGCAGUGAAAUGCGUAGAGAUGUGGAGGAAUACCGAUGGCGAAGGCAGCCCCCUGGGCCAAUACUGACGCUCAUGCACGAAAGCGUGGGGAGCAAACAGGAUUAGAUACCCUGGUAGUCCGCGCCCUAAACGAUGUCAACUAGUUGUUGGGAUUCAUUUCCUUAGUAACGUAGCUAACGCGUGAAGUUGACCGCCUGGGG